rnacentral:rRNA from 1 species
CGUCUAUAUACGUAUAGCAUAUCAAUAAGCGGAGGAAAAGAAACUAACUAGGAUUCCCUUAGUAACGGCGAGUGAAGCGGGAAGAGCUCAAAUUUGAAAUCUUCAAGGUUUACCUUGACGAAUUGUAGUUUAAAGAAGUGUUUUCUGUUGGAGUUUUGGUAAAAGUUCUUUGGAAUAGGACAUCAUAGAGGGUGAGAAUCCCGUAUUUGACCAUUAUUUCCAACUUUGUGAUACACUUUCAAAGAGUCGGAUUGUUUGGGAAUGCAGUCCAAAAUGGGUGGUAAAUUUCAUCUAAAGCUAAAUACUGGCGAGAGACCGAUAGCGAACAAGUACCGUGAGGGAAAGAUGAAAAGAACUUUGAAAAGAGAGUUAAACAGUACGUGAAAUUGUCAAAAGGGAAGCGUUUGACACCAGUGUUGUUUUCUCGAAAAUCAAUUAAAAAAGAUUGGAUUUUGUGUUGUAUUGACUUUAUCAGCUUUCUGCACUCUUUUCUUGUCUUUUUUAAUGCACUUUUCGUUUAACAAGUCAACAUCAAUUUCUUUUGUUGUAAAAGGGUCAUUGGAAGGUGGCUUUCUUUUCGGAGAAAGUGUUUAUAGCCUUUGACUUCUGCAAUCGGAGAGAUUGAGGUCUGCAGCGUAGAUCCUUCGGGGUUAGAUGCAUUUGUGCUAAGUUAUAGCCUUUCAUAGACAACUUGUUGACUAUGAUCAGUCAUGUAGCUUACUCGCUUAUGUUAUUUUACCUACGCUUAGGAUGUUGACGAUCAGCUGAGCGCG